AAGAUCAAGCGAAAGGCAAGACCCGCACACCAAACCAGUUUCGGCCUGCAGCGCUGCAUACAUACAUACCGCGGCGGUGGCCACAUCUACUCCCUUGCCAUCCCUUCCCCCUAAAGCGAUGCCACGCUCCUCCUCCUCUAGCUCCGUCGUGGACGCCGCUUGUGGUGGUGGUGGUGGUGGCUCUGCCGCCACUCCUGUUGCCGGCAGCGCGCACAACGCGGUAUCUCAGACGGCCAUGAUUCACUUCAAGGAUGCGGUCGGCAUGCUGUGGUAUGCACUGCUCCUGGCACAAGAGUCGCACCAGGAGCAGCAACGCCAGCCGAUCUGGAGCAGCGUGAAGUGCACCAAGGAAGAUAUGGCGCUGAAGAAGGGUACAGCAGCAGCUGUGGAGGGUCAUCGCCAGCGUAGUGGGGAUGUCGGCGGCGGCAGUGGCAGUGACCCCAAAGGCGGCGCCGGUGCCUCCAUUCCCGCCGUCUCGCCUUCGACUUCGACCACUGUCUCACUGUCGACCGCGGUGCAGCGGAGCGACUGCGAGUUUGACAGGUGGGGAGACGUGGACUGGACGCUGCUUGCCGCCCACGUCUACGCUCUGACGAGAGAGCUGCACAGUGCUCGUGCACUCCACCGCGUCGUUGCGGAGGAUAUUUAUAAGGGGGCAUACAACGGUGAUCGAGAGGCAAUGUGCGCGGCGUGCGCGCUGCAGCAUGCCGAGAUGCUUGCCUUUUACGCCAAGGAGGUGCAGGAAGAGGAGGAGCGUGCCGCGACGGUACGGCUUCAAACGCCGUUGACCAUCAGUGCUGGCAUCGCCGGCGGCGGCAGCAGGCUGACAGGCACGGCCGGCGUGCUGCCAAUCGACUCGUUUCUGGCGCCCUCAUCAUCGAUGGCGGGGGCUCACGCAGCACGCCUUCCAGUUACGGCGGGCAUACAAGGCCCAGCAUCCUCUUUGCACAACUCUAGCAGCGGUGAUGGCAGUGCCGCACCUGCCUUGCCGCCUACGCGUCCCGACGCCGGAGCGUCUUCGCUGCCCCCGAAGCAGUGGGGCGGAGCUUCGACGAUGCCGCGGGCAGCCGGCGUAUCUCACCCUGUCAGCCCUUAUCCGAGCGGAGCUAAGCAGACGACGACAGGCGAGACAAUCGCGGAUGUGCGCGUGGCCGGCUUGCACGCGUCUGCGGGGGCGACUACUGCUACACGCGCCCCAGGCUCUUCGCCACCCCCUUUCCAACGCGACAGAGAUGUCGUUGGGUUGCAUGCAGCCGGCGGGACGGGCAGGGCGGUUUCAACGGACGACGGGCAGUUGUCAGUGCUACCGCCACACACACGGCUGGGAAGUGUUGCUGACGUCCCGCAGCACUGCGGCCACGCCGUGGCUGAUCAGAGUGCAGCCAUCUCCGGAGAAUCGCUUGACACGAGCGUAGCGCACAAGGGCGACCACACCGUACUGCCUUCCACAACGCAGCCGCCGUCGCCGUUCGAGCCGGAUCUCCUUGACGCACCAUGGUAUGCGCUCUGGUGCUCCUUGCCAUCUCCACAGGCCCGCGCUCAGCUGCAACUACUGCGCUACGCCACCCCGCUCCCUCUUGAGGACUUCUCCUCGCUGCUGGAGCAGUUCUUCCUGGUGGAUGGAGCUGAUGACUUUCUUUCCCCAGUGCAUGCAGCCACCAUCAUGGAGUUCGCCGGCGUGCGCUCUGGCCCCUACAACACCAUCGUGCGUUCUCCUCUAAGCCUCGCCGAGGUGCGUCGCUACAUCUCUGAGAGCCACCGCCAAUACGCGCGUGCAGCCAUGACCGUGCAUGCGAACCAUGCAGAGGGAGUUGCCAGCGUCGAGGCAAGGUCUCGCCCUUUACUUGGCACACCUUCGCCGAACCCUGCAUCAGCACUGGCCAGGCCCUCCGCACUGGAGACGUCGUACGCUGCCGGCAGCGGCAGCGGUUUUUCGGCUACGUCAAUGCCGACCGCUACCAAGGUUGAAUACCGCGGCUUGCGGCGCGGAGGUGCUCCGUCGGCAAGCGCACUCGGCAGCGACGUCCGCUCCCUCCUGGACAGCGCCGCAAGCAGUGAGAGGCGCAUUCUGACACUGGCAGAGUUGGAGCGCAGUAUUUGGCACGUGGCAGCCAACUGCGUUGUCUUCAACGCACCAGAGUCCCGCUACCCCCGCACCGCGCGGCACUUUGCGGCGGCAUGCGUCGCAAUCAUGACGCGGUACUGCGAGAAGCAACUGGCUUCCUUCUUCAUCGCUUGACAUCUCUGCCUGUCUGUUGCCCACGCGACCGUUAAGCGCAACACUUACGAUGGGGGUGAGGGUCUCCGGGAUGUUCAAGUGCGCCUGUGCGCACACUCGUGCCUGUCGACGCAAUCACGUCUGUUCUUUGUUCGCCUUUCUGUGUGUCCUCCCUCCUCGCACUCCCCCCCCCUCUGUGCGAGAGAGGGCAGAAGUCCCUUAC
rnacentral:misc_RNA from 1 species